CGUGACUGCGAGGCCCCGCCCCCGACCACGGUCAGAGCCUGGGGACCCUUGACCGCGGGCGGCUGGAGAAGAGAACGUAUGCUGGCCUUUACUAGUCCCAUGCUCAAAACUCUUCAGCAGGUUCCUGUCACAUUGAGAAUAAAAUUCAAAGCCCACACCAUCCUCUGUAAGCCCUGUGUGUCCUGCCCUCUGGAUGUGCCUCUGCUUGUAGGAUUCACCCACUUAGUGAGUUUUAGCCAGAGUGGCUUUCUUGCUGUUCACUGAACACCUGAGCACAUUCCCAUCCCAGAGCUUUUUUUUGGCACUCUGUGUCCUUUGUCUGGAGUGCCCAGCUAACUUUCUCAAUUUUGUAGCUUUCCCAAUAGCCUGUGCCUUGAGGCUUGCUUAUCUGAGGCGCUUCUUGGUGAAGCAAGACAAGGCCACCCCACCCUUCUUCAAACCUCUGCUUCGCCCUCACCUGCUAAAGCAAGUCAAAACAAACAGCAACACAUUCUGUUGGGAGGUUCCAUGGUUGGAACUGGUGGACUGCAGCUGAGAAAGAGCAAGAGGAGCAGGCUUCGAAUGUUACAAAACGAAUCAGUAGCUUCCCCACACACAGCCCAGAAUCACCUGUGCAUAGCAAGCCAUCGGCCAAAGUCUCUCUCUAGACAGAUGAGCAAAUAGAAGAUCCCACUAAAGCCAGCUUGUGCGGCUCCUUACACCUCAUCUUCCAACCCAUAUAUAUCUGGCUUUCCACAAAACAGGUUUUAAGGUAUGCUAUAGGGCAAGAGCACAGUUUAGAAACAGAGUGAACAUCAGAGCCAGAUUCAAACACCAGCCAGGACUAUGGGACUAAAGCCUGGAAACAUAACUGAUUAAUAUGCUAAGGGGUAACAUUAAAACAUCAUCUUACAUAUGAGUAAACAUCCAGAUGAAAACCUUUUGAGAUUUGUUUUUAAUUAUGUGUAUCUAUGUGUUUCCGCAUGUGGGUUUGUGCAUGUGUAAAUGUGCAUGCGAAUACACUCUACCCACAGAGUCCAGAAGAGGGUGUCAGACCCCUCAGACCUGGAGUUACAGGUGAUUGUGAGCUUCUGGACAUGGGUGCUAGGAACCCCAGAUGGAAACACUGAAGAGCCAGGUGUGCCAGUACCAGUAAUUGGAAGGCUAAAGCAGAAACAUUGUGAGUUUGGGGACAGCCUAGGAUACAUCGUGAAACCCUUUCUCACACAGGAAAAAAAUAAAGCUUUUAAAAUGCCAUUGGUCCCGUUAGUAGAUUGGGCACAGCGGAGAAGAGAAUGACAUUAAGACUCCAUUGGUAGCAGAGUCCCCAGCAGGAGUGAAGAACAGAAGAACAAGAAUCAGGAGGGGCAGGGCAGAGCGAGCUGGGUGCAGCAGCAUGUGCCUGUCACAGACACUCUCAAAACCAACAACAGAAUCGGACACUGUCCAAGAAUGGGGAGACGGUUACGAAAGCUAUAAAACAAUGACAGGACCUGAAGAAGAGAGGACUGGGGAGUAUCUGAAAUUCCAGUGAGAAUUUUCAAACUAAUUACAGACAUACAGCAACAGAUGGAGGAAACUCAGAAGGCACAAAGGAAGGGACCUCAAACUCUGCCAGCACAUGUCCAGACUGCAGAAGUCCCAAGACACAAAGAAAAUAUGAAAAUCAGAGAAAAACAGCUUCUGCUAUGGAAGAACAUGGAGACCAGUUACAUCAGACUGUUCACAUCAGAGAAACCACAAGAGCAAGACUAAAGUGGAGCAAAGCAUUUGCGUUAUUGAAAGAAAGAAAGAAAGAAAAAAAUGGAUUUGAAGUGUUGAAGAAAGAAAUAGCUCUCUCUUUGUCCUGGCUGGUUUUAUGUCACCUGGGCACGAGCUAAGGUCAUCUGAGAGGAAAAUGCCUGUAGAAGACUGGGCUGCACAAAGGCCUGCAGGUCAUUUUCUUAGUGAUAGAUGGGGAAGAGCCCAGCCCAUUACGGGUGGUUCUAUCCCUGGGCUGGUGGUCCUGGGUUCUAUAAGAAAGCAGGCUGAGCAAGCCAUGAGGAGCAAGCCAGUAAGCAGCACCCCUCCAUGGCCUCUGCAUCAGCUCCUGCCUCUGGAUCCCUGCCCUGCUUGAGUUCCUGUCUUGACUUCCUGUGAUGAUGAACUAUGAUGUGGAAGUGUAAGCCAAAUAAACCCUUUC